GUGCAGCAGGCGCGAAAACUUUACAAUGUGCGAAAGCACGAUAAGGGAACUCUGAGUGCCUCCUAAGGAGGCUGUUCUGAUGUCUAAAAAGCAACAGAAGUAAGGGCUGGGUAAGACCGGUGCCAGCCGCCGCGGUAACACUGGCAGCCCAAGUGGUAGCCACGUUUAUUGGGUCUAAAGCGUCCGUAGCCGGCCAGGUAUGUUCCUUGGUAAAUUUAGCCGCUUAACGGUUAAGCUUUCAGGGAAUACUGCUUGGCUUGGGACUGGGAGAGGUCAGAGGUACUCCGGGGGUAGGGGUGAAAUCUAUUAAUCCCUGGGGGACCACCGGUAGCGAAGGCGUCUGACCAGACCAGGUCCGACGGUGAGGGACGAAGGCUAGGGGCGCGAACCGGAUUAGAUACCCGGGUAGU
rnacentral:rRNA from 1 species